GAUGAACGCUGGCGGCGUGCCUAAUACAUGCAAGUCGAACGCUGGAGAUCUAGCUUGCUAGAUCGAAGGAGUGGCGAACGGGUGAGUAAUACAUAAGCAACCUACCCACGAAGACUGGGAUAAUCUCUGGAAACGGGGACUAAUACCGGAUAGGUAAUCGGAAGGCAUCUUCUGGUUAUUAAAGGUUAAAAACACUGGUGGAUGGGCUUAUGGCGCAUUAGUUAGUUGGUGAGGUAACGGCCCACCAAGACGAUGAUGCGUAGCCGGCCUGAGAGGGUGAACGGCCACAUUGGGACUGAGACACGGCCCAGACUCCUACGGGAGGCAGCGGUAGGGAAUUUUCGGCAAUGGGGGCUACCCUGACCGAGCAACGCCGCGUGAGUGAAGACGGCCUUCGGGUUGUAAAGCUCUGUUGUAAGGGAAGAACGGUAGAUAGAGAAUAUCUAAGUGACGGUACCUUACCAGAAAGCCACGGCUAACUACGUG
rnacentral:rRNA from 1 species